ensembl:lncRNA
UUUCUCACCAUGCCUCAUCCAUUUCAAAGUGGCAGAAACAGAACAGAAAACCAAAGUGCAGAUAGAAAGGAGGAUUUUUUUAAUAACAAAACCCUCUGUGGCCUUUCUCCCAUCCCGACUUAAGGAAACAUCCUCUCAUCAGAGAGCACCCAAAUAUUUUCACAGCGAGAAUCAUAUCAUAACUGCUUGUUUUAUGAGCCACUUCUGUCGUGGGAGAGUAACACAGCUAUGCAGCCUUGAAGAAGAAAGAAGGCUUUAGUUCAAAGAAAAGCUUUGGGCCCUGCUUAAGAUUAUCUUGAAACUUGCUCGGUGUUUUGCUGCUCUGAAUAAUUAUGUCAGCUGCAAACCAUAAAGAUUAAAUAUCUGAUCCUAGCAGAAGGCUAAUCUCCCACAAAGCGAGAUGAGCCAAAGACUACAUCAACUCAAGCAGGGAUUUCAGUGCUGCUCCCGCGUUUUUUAAGAAAGGUGUCCACAUACAGUCCUGGCAGAAAGACAGGCAGAUGAGGAGGGAGGAAACAUGCAAGUUCUGCCAUGGGAAUUUCAGAUGACCUGCAUGAUUUUAUUUUAUUUUUUAUAUAUAUUAUUUUUAAGCGACAGGAAAGGAAACUUGAUUAGGAGGAUGUUGAAAAUCAAACCAGCAACGUUUUACAGAAGGGAUGAUGUGUUUUCCAAAUCACUUCAAUAGAAAUCAUCAGAGCUAUUAAUAUUCAAUAGGAGAAAUAAUGCUGAAAGGCUAUGCACACCCCGUGCAGAAAUUCAGGAGCCAGAGAAAUGUUUUGCUAAGAACUGUUCCUUCCAUGGUGGCACUGUGCAGGACUUAGGAAAGCUAAGGCUUGGGGCCUUGAUGUGAACCCCAGCACAGAGCUCCCAGACCGAGCACUGGCUCUCAGUCAAGAAGUAAAACCUUUGUGUUCAUUCAGUCUCUCUGUAAUUCACCACUGUUCACGCUCACUGGUGAGUAGCCUCCAAGCAGUCAUAACUGAGGGGCUCUGUAAGCAUUUGUCACCGGAAGCAUCUUGUGCUGACUUACAGCUCUCACACUGCUAAUUAUCUGACUGGCACAAACAAACAAACAAAAAAAAUGCUGUUUAGAGUUCCUUUCAGACAAUGUCUAAGUUCCCGAUUUCUUAUGCCCUGGUGAGAUGGGUGUGCUUUUUGUGUAGCACACAGCUGUAGACAAGCAAAACUAAUUUUUAUGGCCGUGCCAUCUUCUUAUUGACAUUCAUUUGUAAUGCUCUUCUCAAAUGGUAAUAUUCAUGAAGGACUGCAAACCAAGUGAAAUAAGACUUACAAUUUGAAUAAUGUUGGAAAUAACUGCAUAGAUGGUUUCCCCAGAACAGUAAUCUAGCACUAAUUGCCUUGGCUGCACAAGAGGAAGCAGAGUCUUGGUUAAAGGCCUGGAAUUCUCUUUUUCAGAAGAUGCAUAGGCCUGGAAACAUAUUUGUGUUCCUAACUGUAAGCAUGUGAAUAAUCCCAUUAGAGAGAUUUUCUGACGAGUUUUCUGCUUGAAGUUAAAAUCACAGUAAAUGUUUAGAGGAUCUGUGCCUAAGGCAGGUGUCAAUAUUGAAAGAGAAAAGCUGGUUAAUACAGAGUGUUUCUUUUUUAGUAAUAUCAUUUUCUGUCUUGUCUUUUUCUGCAAAUUGCAAGAACUGAAAAAUCAAUUUUGUUUUUAAUAAAUAAUUCAU